rnacentral:misc_RNA from 1 species
UUUCCGUAGGUGAACCUGCGGAAGGAUCAUUGAUGCAUUGUCGAUCACAGCCCUUGGUUCAGAAUCCACGUGUCGCCCUGUGGCCGGCCCACCGAGCAGAGGGAUGGGUGUCCAGGGGGGAGACCCCCGCGCCCGCCUCUGCCCGACGCCUCCGCAGCGCCCCCACCCACUCCACACCCCCAACCCUCCAUGCCUGAAGCAAGCAUGUGCGCGCGUCGAACACCCGUUUGGCCGCCCACAGACAACCAGAGACAACUCUCAACAACGGAUAUCUUGGCUCCC